rnacentral:tRNA from 1 species
CCUCUUUAAGAUAGACGGUAAAGCAUCUGCCUGCAAUGCAGGAGACCCGGGUUCGAUUCCUGAGUGGGGA